UUACAUUGGAUGUAAGCACAUUGUCACAGAAAUUAGCAUCGUUCAGAUUGUAAUAGCAUUCCUUCUUUCCAUCUUCAUGUUCAUCAGGCUCUGCUGGGAGUUCUAAAGGUGAGAAAAAAACAUAAAUCACAUAAGAUGACGUGAAAUGAAUCAAUUUUACAGAAUCAGAACAGCCCCUGUGCCUCAAUUUCACCACAGUGAAAAACAGCAUUGUCAAACCUGCUGUCCAGCUUGGCCGCAAAGGGAUUCUUCACAUUUGCACCUUUUAUUUUUAUGCAGUGCAUGAAGUACCUGCUUUCAUGCUCAGCUACCUAACUAAAGUACCCAACUACCGAUGUACUGCUUUUCACAUAUGAGUUUGGAAGCUCUUCAGAAAGGAGCACCAGAGAGAUCAACAGGGAGCAAAUGAGUGCUCCAAGAACCUCCUUUUCAGAGAUUCUGGUGCAGCCAAAUUGCUGAGCCUGGGGCCAGGUGGCAGUGGAACGUCACUGCCGCAAUAGAAGUUUGUCUACACCUUGGAAGAAGACAGUCUCCACAGCUGUUCAGUUUACUUUGGCCAAUGGACACAAAAACUCCAUGCCAGAACUGAACCACAUGGGGUUCUUGAAUGUUUUAUGUUGCUGUUGUUUCUGACUUUUAAAAAAAAAUGAGUCAAGCUCAUACAAAACAAGUCUGGAGAUACGGAAAAUCUGCUCUCCAGGUACAAAGAGGCAUGUGAAUCCAGCAGAAUUUCCUCAGGUUCUUUCUCUGAUGGUAUAAACAGUUAAUCUCACUCACUUAACUAGAAGUAAAUUCACAGAGGCACCCAGUGUAAAGAACAGUAGCUCCUGUGGCUGGAAGUCACAUCUUAGUACCUGGAAUGUCAUACGCUCCUUUUGUUUCUGUUCCUUUUGUUUCAUCUUGCCUUUCACGUGAAGCAGACACCACUACAAACACUAACAAUGAUGCCACCAGUGCUCCCUCAAAGUGAGUUUUUUCAACUCUAGAAUUGUUUUUAUUAAAAUGACAGAAUGGAGAAACUAACUGGUAGUUUCAGAACUGCUUCUGCUGUUUCAGAAGACUAGGAGUACCCUUGCUUCGCCAAGUUAUUAAAAUACUUUUCCAAGUGCUGAAUAUAAAGUCUGAUCUGUAUUCCAUACACACCGCUGAUUACUUGUGAA